ensembl:lncRNA
GUCAAUGGGGUCAUUGGGGGAAAUUGGGUCAAUGGGGUCAAAGGGGGAAUGGGGUCAAUGGGGGUAAUGGGGUCAAUGGGGGAAACGGGGGCAAUGGGGAAAUGGGGGGUAAUGGGGACAUUGGAGUUUCUAUGGGGACUUUGGGGUCCCUGUGGGGACAUUGGGGUCUCUAUGGGACAUUGGGGUCUCUAUGGGGACAAUGGGGUCCCUGUGGGGACUUUGGGGUCUCUAUGGGGACUUUGGGGUCCCUGUGGGGACAAUGGGGUCUCUAUGGGACAUUGGGGUCUCUAUGGGGACACUGGGGUCCCUGUGGGGACUUUGGAGUCUCUAUGUAGCAUUGGGAUCUCUAUAGGGUCAAUGGGGUCUCUAUGGGGACUUUGGGGUCUCUAUGGGAUCAAUGGGGUUUCUAUGGGGAUAUUGGGGUCUCUAUGGGUCGUUGGGGUCUCUAUGUAGCACUGGGAUCUCUAUAGGGUCAAUGGGGUCUCUAUAGGGUCAGUGGGGUCUCUAUGGGGACAGUGGGGUCUCUAUGGGGACUUUGGGGUCUCUAUGGGGACACUGGGGUCCCUGUGGGGACUUUGGAGUCUCAAUGGGGACAUUGGGGUCUCUAUGGGUCGUUGGGGUCUCUAUGUAGCAUUGGGAUCUCUAUAGGGUCAGUGGGGUCUCUGUAGGGUCAAUGGGGUCUCUAUGGGGACAUUAGGGUCCCUGUGGGGACAAUGGGGUCUCUAUGGGACAUUGGGGUCUCUGUGGGGACUUUGGGGUCUCUAUGGGGACAAUGGGGUCUCUAUGGGUCGUUGGGGUCUCUAUGUAGCACUGGGAUCUCUAUAGGGUCAAUGGGGUCUCUAUGGGACUUUGGGGUCUUUAUGGGAUCAAUGGGGUCUCUAUGGGACUUUGGGGUCUCUAUGGGGACAUUGGGGUCUCUAUGGGGACAAUGGGGUCCCUGUGGGGACUUCGGGGUCUCUAUGGGGACUUUGGGAUCUCUAUGGGGACAGUGGGGUCUCUAUGGGACAUUCGGGUCUCUAUGGGGACACUGGGGUCCCUGUGGGUCGUUGGGGUCUCUAUGUAGCAUUGGGAUCUCUAUAGGGUCAACGGGGUCUCUAUGGGACUUUGGGGUCUCUAUGGGGACAUUGGGGUCUCUAUGGGUCAUUGGGGUUUCUAUGGGAUCAAUGGGGUUUCUAUGGGGACUUUGGGAUCUCUAUGGGGACAGUGGGGUCCCUGUGGGGACUUUGGGGUCUCUAUGGGGACAUUGGGGUCCCUGUGGGGACAAUGGGGUCUCUAUGGGACAUUGGGGUCUCUAUGGGGACAAUGGGGUCCCUGUGGGGACUUUGGGGUCUCUAUGGGGACAUUGGGGUCCCUGUGGGGACUUUGGGGUCUCUAUGGGAUCAAUGGGGUUUCUGUGGGGACUUUGGGGUCUCUAUGGGGACAUUGGGGUCUCUAUGGGACUUUGGGGUCUCUAUGGGGACAUUGGGGUCUCUAUGGGGAUUUUGGGGUCUCUAUGUGGCAUUGGGAUCUCUAUAGGGUCAAUGGGGUCUCUAUAGGGUCAGUGGGGUCUCUAUGGGACUUUGGGGUCUUUAUGGGAUCAAUGGGGUCUCUAUGGGACUUUGGGGUCUCUAUGAGGUCAAUGGGGUCCCUAUGGCAAUUUUGGGGUCCCUGUAUGGGGCCGUUGUGACCCCCACCCAUGAGUGCGGUUGUCCCCCCUGUAGGGGGCGCUGCAGAGCUCGGUGGGGACGCAGCGGUGCCCCCCAAAGGUGUUGACGCAGCGCUGCUCCGCCCCACAGCUGUGGGUCCCUUCCUGGCACUCAUCCACGUCUGGGGGGGGGGGAAUGGGGGGAGAUGGGGGGCAUUGGGAUCCUUUCGGUGGCCCCAUAGCGCCCCACAGCUCCCCGCUGCCCCCCGUCGUCCUGUACCCCCCCCAUACCCUAUAAAAGCCCCCCCAUUCCCCAUUACACCCUAUAGACCCGCAGUGACCCCAUAACCCCAUAUGACCCCAUAACAUGACCCCGUAUGACCCCACAACCACCCAUGACCCCAUAACAUGACCCCAUGUCCCCGUAUGACCCCACGACCACCCAUGACCCCAUAACAUGACCCCAUAAGACCCCACAACCACCCACAACCCCAUAACAUGACCCCGUAUGAGCCCACGACCACCCAUGACCCCAUAACA